rnacentral:rRNA from 1 species
ACGAACGCUGGCGGCAUGCCUAACACAUGCAAGUCGAACGAGUAUGGAUCUAGCUUGCUAGAACCCAGCUAGUGGCAAACGGGUGAGUAACGCGUGGGAACCUUCCUAAUAGUACGGAAUAGCCGUUGGAAACGACGAUUAAUACCGUAUACGCCCCGAGGGGGAAAGAUUUAUCGCUAUUAGAUGGGCCCGCGUUAGAUUAGCUAGUUGGUGGGGUAAUGGCCUACCAAGGCUACGAUCUAUAGCUGAUUUGAGAGGAUGAUCAGCCACACUGGAACUGAGACACGGUCCAGACUCCUACGGGAGGCAGCAGUGGGGAAUAUUGGACAAUGGGCGAAAGCCUGAUCCAGCAAUGCCGCGUGAGCGAAGAAGGCCUUAGGGUUGUAAAGCUCUUUCAGUAGGGAAGAUAAUGACGGUACCUACAGAAGAAGCACCGGCUAACUCCGU